rnacentral:rRNA from 1 species
GAUGAACGCUGGCGGCGUGCCUAAUACAUGCAAGUCGAGCGGAUGGAUUAAGAGCUUGCUCUUAUAAGUUAGCGGCGGACGGGUGAGUAACACGUGGGUAACCUGCCCAUAAGACUGGGAUAACUCCGGGAAGCCGGGGCUAAUACCGGAUAACAUUUUGAACCGCAUGGUUCGAAAUUGAAAGGCGGCUUCGGCUGUCACUUAUGGAUGGACCCGCGUCGCAUUAGCUAGUUGGUGAGGUAACGGCUCACCAAGGCAACGAUGCGUAGCCGACCUGAGAGGGUGAUCGGCCACACUGGGACGGAGCAACGGCCCAGACUCCUACGGGAGGCAGCAGUAGGGAAUCUUCCGCAAUGGACGAAAGUCUGACGGAGCAACGCCGCGUGAGUGAUGAAGGCUUUCGGGUCGUAAAACUCUGUUGUUAGGGAAGAACAAGUGCUAGUUGAAUAAGCUGACACCUUGACGGUACCUAACCAGAAAGCCACGGCUAACUACGUGCCAGCCGCCGCAGUAA